AAAACUUUUUCAAUAGUUAUGUGGCCAAAGGGUACAACUGUUAUGGAGGCAAAACUUUUCAAAGUUUAGGGGGUUAUUGGGAUAAUAGAUCUUUUGAGUACCCCGAAAGUAUAGGAAGAACAUCAUAUCUUGGAAAUAAGUCAAGUUGUUCCGGUCAAAGUGAACAUUCUUUCAAUGGUUACUUACCAAAUGGACAGAGAAAUCCAUACACUGCAAACAGACAGAAUCAUAAUGGUCGAUUAUCACACACACACAUAUGACGAUUUGAUCAAUAAUGGACAGAAGCAGGGGUUAUUGUAACUGUAAUCAUUUAUCA